rnacentral:rRNA from 1 species
UACGGAGGAUGCGAGCGUUAUCCGGAUUUAUUGGGUUUAAAGGGUGCGUAGGCGGGCUGUUAAGUCAGCGGUCAAAUGUCGGGGCUCAACCCCGGCCUGCCGUUGAAACUGGCGGCCUCGAGUGGGCGAGAAGUAUGCGGAAUGCGUGGUGUAGCGGUGAAAUGCAUAGAUAUCACGCAGAACUCCGAUUGCGAAGGCAGCAUACCGGCGCCCGACUGACGCUGAGGCACGAAAGCGUGGGUAUCGAACAGG